GACUGAGUGGCGGACGGGUGAGUAACGCGUGGGUAACCUGCCUCACACUGGGGGACAACAGUUAGAAAUGACUGCUAAUACCGCAUAAGCGCACAGGACCGCAUGGUCCGGUGUGAAAAACUCCGGUGGUGUGAGAUGGACCCGCGUUUGAUUAGCUAGUUGGUGGGGUAACGGCCUACCAAGGCGACGAUCAAUAGCCGACCUGAGAGGGUGACCGGCCACAUUGGGACUGAGACACGGCCCAAACUCC
rnacentral:rRNA from 1 species